CGGGGCGGGGCUCCCCUCGGCUCCCGACUGCCCUUUUCCCCUGCGGUCUCUGCCCCGGCUGCUGUGUCUCUACCGAGCUCCGGACACGUGCAGGAGCAUCCAGCCGUGAACUUUCAAGCAGAUGCAGCCCCAGGAUGACUCAAAAGUAGGGCAUCCUUGGCCCUCCUGAAGAGAUGAAAUUAGUGGCAAGUGGACCAUCUAUCUGUAUGGCGUUAUCAGAUGCCUUUGCCUGAGUGAGAAACCUUCCUCCAUUGGGACCCCAGAGGUCUGAUGGCCCUUUGUGACAUCCAAAUAAGUAAUGACACCCAACUGCUGACAAGACCCACACAUCUGGUGUCAAAAAUACUGAGAGUAUGGCCAGAGUUUGAGACUGAAGGAAAAACAGGAUGAAGCACGAGGUUUUCUUAAAAGGAAGAGUUCCUAAGAAAGAACAGCAGUGUUUGGUUUCCAGCAGAACCUGAUCACAAACCCAUCCUAGUAGUGAAGUAGAAAUGGUCCCUAAGGAAAGAGGAAAUUUUUAUAUGUCAACAGUAGCCAGAAGAAAGAUAAAUAUCAUAUUCUAAUGCAUAUAUAUGGAAUCUAGAAAAAUGGUACUGAAGAACUUAUUUACAGGGCAGCAGUGGAGAAACAGACAUAGAGAACAGACUUAUGGACACAGGGAGAGGGGAGGAGAGGGUGAGAAGUAUGGAAAGAGUAACAGGGAAACUUACAUUACCAUAUUUAAGAUAGCCAAUGGGAAUUUGCUGUAUGGCUCAGGAAACUCAAACUGGGUUCUGUAUCAACCUAGAGGAGUGG
ensembl:lncRNA